GGUUAAGCGACUAAGCGUACACGGUGGAUGCCCUGGCAGUCAGAGGCGAUGAAGGACGUGCUAAUCUGCGAUAAGCGUCGGUAAGGUGAUAUGAACCGUUAUAACCGGCGAUUUCCGAAUGGGGAAACCCAGUGUGAUUCGUCACACUAUCAUUAACUGAAUCCAUAGGUUAAUGAGGCGAACCGGGGGAACUGAAACAUCUAAGUACCCCGAGGAAAAGAAAUCAACCGAGAUUCCCCCAGUAGCGGCGAGCGAACGGGGAGCAGCCCAGAGCCUGAAUCAGUGUGUGUGUUAGUGGAAGCGUCUGGAAAGGCGCGCGAUACAGGGUGACAGCCCCGUACACAAAAAUGCACAUACUGUGAGCUCGAUGAGUAGGGCGGGACACGUGGUAUCCUGUCUGAAUAUGGGGGGACCAUCCUCCAAGGCUAAAUACUCCUGACUGACCGAUAGUGAACCAGUACCGUGAGGGAAAGGCGAAAAGAACCCCGGCGAGGGGAGUGAAAAAGAACCUGAAACCGUGUACGUACAAGCAGUGGGAGCACGCUUAGGCGUGUGACUGCGUACCUUUUGUAUAAUGGGUCAGCGACUUAUAUUCUGUAGCAAGGUUAACCGAAUAGGGGAGCCGAAGGGAAACCGAGUCUUAACUGGGCGUUAAGUUGCAGGGUAUAGACCCGAAACCCGGUGAUCUAGCCAUGGGCAGGUUGAAGGUUGGGUAACACUAACUGGAGGACCGAACCGACUAAUGUUGAAAAAUUAGCGGAUGACUUGUGGCUGGGGGUGAAAGGCCAAUCAAACCGGGAGAUAGCUGGUUCUCCCCGAAAGCUAUUUAGGUAGCGCCUCGUGAAUUCAUCUCCGGGGGUAGAGCACUGUUUCGGCAAGGGGGUCAUCCCGACUUACCAACCCGAUGCAAACUGCGAAUACCGGAGAAUGUUAUCACGGGAGACACACGGCGGGUGCUAACGUCCGUCGUGAAGAGGGAAACAACCCAGACCGCCAGCUAAGGUCCCAAAGUCAUGGUUAAGUGGGAAACGAUGUGGGAAGGCCCAGACAGCCAGGAUGUUGGCUUAGAAGCAGCCAUCAUUUAAAGAAAGCGUAAUAGCUCACUGGUCGAGUCGGCCUGCGCGGAAGAUGUAACGGGGCUAAACCAUGCACCGAAGCUGCGGCAGCGACGCUGAUGCGUUGUUGGGUAGGGGAGCGUUCUGUAAGCCUGUGAAGGUGUGCUGUGAGGCAUGCUGGAGGUAUCAGAAGUGCGAAUGCUGACAUAAGUAACGAUAAAGCGGGUGAAAAGCCCGCUCGCCGGAAGACCAAGGGUUCCUGUCCAACGUUAAUCGGGGCAGGGUGAGUCGACCCCUAAGGCGAGGCCGAAAGGCGUAGUCGAUGGGAAACAGGUUAAUAUUCCUGUACUUGGUGUUACUGCGAAGGGGGGACGGAGAAGGCUAUGUUGGCCGGGCGACGGUUGUCCCGGUUUAAGCGUGUAGGCUGGUUUUCCAGGCAAAUCCGGAAAAUCAAGGCUGAGGCGUGAUGACGAGGCACUACGGUGCUGAAGCAACAAAUGCCCUGCUUCCAGGAAAAGCCUCUAAGCAUCAGGUAACAUCAAAUCGUACCCCAAACCGACACAGGUGGUCAGGUAGAGAAUACCAAGGCGCUUGAGAGAACUCGGGUGAAGGAACUAGGCAAAAUGGUGCCGUAACUUCGGGAGAAGGCACGCUGAUAUGUAGGUGAAGUCCCUCGCGGAUGGAGCUGAAAUCAGUCGAAGAUACCAGCUGGCUGCAACUGUUUAUUAAAAACACAGCACUGUGCAAACACGAAAGUGGACGUAUACGGUGUGACGCCUGCCCGGUGCCGGAAGGUUAAUUGAUGGGGUCAGCGCAAGCGAAGCUCUUGAUCGAAGCCCCGGUAAACGGCGGCCGUAACUAUAACGGUCCUAAGGUAGCGAAAUUCCUUGUCGGGUAAGUUCCGACCUGCACGAAUGGCGUAAUGAUGGCCAGGCUGUCUCCACCCGAGACUCAGUGAAAUUGAACUCGCUGUGAAGAUGCAGUGUACCCGCGGCAAGACGGAAAGACCCCGUGAACCUUUACUAUAGCUUGACACUGAACAUUGAGCCUUGAUGUGUAGGAUAGGUGGGAGGCUUUGAAGUGUGGACGCCAGUCUGCAUGGAGCCGGCCUUGAAAUACCACCCUUUAAUGUUUGAUGUUCUAACGUUGACCCGUAAUCCGGGUUGCGGACAGUGUCUGGUGGGUAGUUUGACUGGGGCGGUCUCCUCCUAAAGAGUAACGGAGGAGCACGAAGGUUGGCUAAUCCUGGUCGGACAUCAGGAGGUUAGUGCAAUGGCAUAAGCCAGCUUGACUGCGAGCGUGACGGCGCGAGCAGGUGCGAAAGCAGGUCAUAGUGAUCCGGUGGUUCUGAAUGGAAGGGCCAUCGCUCAACGGAUAAAAGGUACUCCGGGGAUAACAGGCUGAUACCGCCCAAGAGUUCAUAUCGACGGCGGUGUUUGGCACCUCGAUGUCGGCUCAUCACAUCCUGGGGCUGAAGUAGGUCCCAAGGGUAUGGCUGUUCGCCAUUUAAAGUGGUACGCGAGCUGGGUUUAGAACGUCGUGAGACAGUUCGGUCCCUAUCUGCCGUGGGCGCUGGAGAACUGAGGGGGGCUGCUCCUAGUACGAGAGGACCGGAGUGGACGCAUCACUGGUGUUCGGGUUGUCAUGCCAAUGGCACUGCCCGGUAGCUAAAUGCGGAAGAGAUAAGUGCUGAAAGCAUCUAAGCACGAAACUUGCCCCGAGAUGAGUUCUCCCUGACUCCUUGAGAGUCCUGAAGGAACGUUGAAGACGACGACGUUGAUAGGCCGGGUGUGUAAGCGCAGCGAUGCGUUGAGCUAACCGGUACUAAUGAACCGUGAGGCUUAACCUU
rnacentral:rRNA from 1 species